rnacentral:lncRNA from 1 species
AACUUUUUUUUAAAGAGCUCUAUUGCCUUAAAUGAUACUCAUGCUGUUAAUUUGGUCCUUUGAUGAACUCUGCAUGUGAAUAUGAAUGCGGUUAUGGAGCUAUAGACAGGAAAAAGAGGUUUCCAAACGCCGUCGUUCCGAGUCGAGUCAAGGUCAUUCAUCCUCCCACCUUGGAGGUUUUGACAGGUGACCUGCUGUGCAACAUUUUUGUUAAUUCUUUGAGGAACUUGUGGCAGCAACUAACUUUAUAUAGUGGACUUCAGAGGCAAACCUCAUUGAUGAUGAUAUUAAGAAGAUGGUAGUGUGGCGCCGCAUAAAGAAUGGCAUGUCUGUGAUUUUGCUGUUAGCAUUUAUUUUCUAUAUUAGUUAUUGUACAAGAGAACUCUACACCCGCAUAUUAAACAACCGUAAAUAUACUCGUCUCAUAGAAUAUGAAAAGGAGAUUGAUGCCUUGACCAACAUGCUGGGGGAUUACAAGAAAGACGCCAACAAAGUGCAGCGAAGCCUCCAGCUCUUACGUGAGGCUCUUGACCAGGUGGUAGUAAACAGAAGACCAAAAAGUAUUAGUGAUAGAUGAUGUCUGUUGACAAACCCAGAUGAGGUUACCUGAAUAUCUGUUUACUAGGGAUAAUAUUUUUAGGUGUAGUAUAUGCUUGUUCAUAUCUCUAUGCAGAUGAGGGGAAAAUUCAGAGUCAGGAUAGUGAGACAGGAGUGUGAACUUUCUCAUUGCUCUUCUUUCUGCCAAAAUCUUGCAUUUUUGUUACUUUGUUUUUCUAAAAUGGCAUGGCAUUAUUGCAAAUACUGUUAUAUGGCAAGUCCUCUCUUAUCUUUUACAUUACUGUUCAUUCUUCCUGUCCUCCAUCUGUGGAUAUCUGGCAAUCUGCUGUUCCUUAAAUAGUUAUUUUUUAUUUCAAAACUCAAGCAAGUGAAUACCAAAUGAAUUGCCACAAUGAUAUAUUAAUGGGGAAUAUGAUAAAGGAUUCCCUGACUGUUUUUUCUGUGACUAUUACUACUGUGUAAUUAAAUUAUAUUGGUGCACAAAAUUAGAAAUAGUGGUCUAUAGAUUGUCAGCUGUAGAUUUAGAAAAAUAUUAUUGAUAUUAACAAUCUUCUUAAAUUUGUUAACAUUUUUUAGAAAAUUAAGAUGUUAAUAGUGCUUUUCCAUAAUAUGGUUUAUGGUUAGACACUUCUGUGAUAGAAACGUGUGUAGAUGACACAUUUGAUAUGUCACUGUUCCCAUAGAUGUGAAAUGUGUGGGAGACUUUAUAUAUAUAUAACUAACUUACACACUUGUAGAUUCCUUUUAGGGUUAAGUUUUGCCUGGUUAUUAAUUCUGUAUCUUAUAGUGAUUUAAUAGUAUGUGUCUUUCUUUGAAGAUGAUUCAGUAUAUUUAAAGUAACCAAUUUUUUUUUCUUCUUCUUCUUUCUCAUUAUUAAGUUAUGUAUGAUACAUCUAACCUGCACUUGACUAGAUCUCUCCAUGAUUUAGCAGGUUAUGGUAAUGGUGGCAUCAACAUCAUCCUGUGUAUGUAAUUAAGGCUUAUAUUUAUUAGCAGUUUCAUUCAUAUUGAGAUUACCCCUUUGAGUGCAACUCUUAGUUUAGAUUUGGCUUGAGUGAGAGGUAAUUGUGAGCUUCAGUUUGUACUACAUAUAAAGUGAAUUUAUAUUUGAGUACUUUCAUAUGCCAAUAUCAUGAGAAAAAAUUCAACAUCCCCUGUAUCCAGUCAUCCAUCAGAGUGUAACAAAUGUCUUAUUUUUGUAGUUCCUAGCUCUUCCUUAAUUUUUGUUACAUGAUUGCAUAUUACAGUUAUAUAGUGAAAAUCAAAACCUGCUUCAUAAUACUCCAUAAACCCAUCACCAUUUGUAUAUGAUCAGAUGACGUAAAAGUGUUUCUGAUAUAUAUAUUCCUUGCUGAUAUGGUGAAGUUUGUAUAUGUGCGCAUCUUGCAUACAUUAAUUGUGGUACUUAAAGACAUGUUCAUCUGGUUUACUCAUUCAGAGAAUUUCAUAUUUUUAUCUAAAAUAUUGUUACUUUGAUUAAUGAGGAAAAAAUGGAAUUGCCAAACGUGAUCUGCUUUUGGACAAUUAUUCCUCCGAGUGUCAUUUUAUUUGUUUUUCCUCAGAAAGCAUGUUUUCUAUUUACAUAUUGUUUAACCUCUGUUAAUUUUUUUCCCAAAUUAUUGUCAUUUCAUUUUAGUAAAUACUAGGUUUUUAUUUGUAGAAAGAGAGGGAUUUCUCACAAAAGAAGCAACUAUUUUCAAGAACUGUUUGUUCCAAUAUAGAUUUUAAUAAAUUAACAAUGCCUGCAGCUAUUCAUAGUCUAGAAUAUUGUAUUUUGUUGUAGUGAGAUCCCUCCUCCCCAAAAAAAGUAAUGACAAUGCAUGAUUUAAAAUUUUAAGAUAUUUUUUGCCAUUGAUGAUAUAUCUGGUACUUUUAACUUAUGAUAGUAUUUGACUUAUACAAUUUGAUAUGCACUCUGCAUAUAAUUUAUCAGUACAAGGCUUCUCUAGAAUUCCAGAAUAAAUAAUUGUUAUAUUUACCCAGUGGUGUAGCUGAAGGGGAGAGAGGCAGUUUUUCACUGAUGUAAGGGAACCCCCAUAUGACAAGUGCUAAUUCUUUGAUUUGAAAUAGUUAUGUCCAAGCAAAGAAAAAAAAAUGGAUAAGAUAAGAUAAAAGAUGUUUUA